rnacentral:rRNA from 1 species
AUUGAACGCUGGCGGCAUGCCUUACACAUGCAAGUCGAACGGCAGCGGACCUUCGGGUGCCGGCGAGUGGCGAACGGGUGAGUAAUAUAUCGGAACGUACCUUUCAGUGGGGGAUAACGUAGCGAAAGUUACGCUAAUACCGCAUAUUCUGUGAGCAGGAAAGCAGGGGAUCGCAAGACCUUGCGCUGAUUGAGCGGCCGAUAUCAGAUUAGCUAGUUGGUGAGGUAAAGGCUCACCAAGGCGACGAUCUGUAGCGGGUCUGAGAGGAUGAUCCGCCACACUGGAACUGAGACACGGUCCAGACUCCUACGGGAGGCAGCAGUGGGGAAUAUUGGUCAAUGGGCGGAAGCCUGAACCAGCCAUCCCGCGUGCAGGAUGAAGGCCCUAUGGGUUGUAAACUGCUUUAGACUGAGAAGAAACCCCUCAAUGCGUUGGGGGCUGACGGUAUCAGUAGAAUAAGCACCGGCUAACUCCGUGCC